UGGGGGAUUUUCCGCAAUGGGCGAAAGCCUGACGGAGCAAGACCGCGUGAGGGAGGAAGGCCUUUGGGUUGUAAACCUCUUUUCUCAGGGAAGAAGAAAGUGACGGUACCUGAGGAAUCAGCCUCGGCUAACUCCGUGCCAGCAGCCGCGGUAAUUCGGAGGAGGCAAGCGUUAUCCGGAAUUAUUGGGCGUAAAGCGUCCGCAGGUGGUUAUUCAAGUCCGCUGACAAAGACCGGAGCUCAACUCCGGAGAGGCAGUAGAAACUGAAGAACUAGUGACCGGUAGGGGUAGAGGGAAUUCCCAGUGUAGCGGUGAAAUGCGUAGAGAUUGGGAAGAACACCAGUGGCGAAAGCGCUCUACGGGGCCGGAACUGACACUCACAGGACGAAAGCUAGGGGAGCGAAAGGGAUUAGAUACCCCUGUAGUCC
rnacentral:rRNA from 1 species